UUAACCUCAGAGCAGGCAAGAUUACCCGCUGAA
rnacentral:rRNA from 1 species